GGAAACGGCUGCUAAUACCGCAUAAGCCCUUAGCACUGCAUGGUGCAUAGGGAAAAGGAGCAAUCCGGUACAGGAUGGACCCGCGUCUGAUUAGCCAGUUGGCAGGGUAACGGCCUACCAAAGCGACGAUCAGUAGCCGAUCUGAGAGGAUGUACGGCCACAUUGGGACUGAGACACGGCCCAGACUCCUACGGGAGGCAGCAGUGGGGAAUAUUGCACAAUGGAGGGAACUCUGAUGCAGCGACGCCGCGUGAGUGAAGAAGUAUUUCGGUAUGUAAAGCUCUAUCAGCAGGGAAGAAAAUGACGGUACCUGACUAAGAAGCACCGGCUAAAUACGUGCCAGCAGCCGCGGUGAUACGUAUGGUGCAAGCGUUAUCCGGAUUUACUGGGUGUAAAGGGAGCGUAGGUGGCAAGGC
rnacentral:rRNA from 1 species